rnacentral:lncRNA from 1 species
CUGGGGAGUACGUCAUCAUCCAGCGGCUACAGAUCAACCUGCGUCUGGGUUCUGUUUGGGGUCUGUGAGAUGAAGCCAUACUCCCUCUUGAACUGUAUCUUUAGCACCUCAAUGUCCUCAGCCAGCUGUACCUGGGUGUCCUCGAUCUCCCUCAGCUCCUCCAGGAUGGUGGUAAGCUUGCCUGGACUGCCCAGUGCACCCACUCUCCUGGCUGUGAACGACUGUAUGCCUUGCUGUCACCCGAGCCUGACAUGUUGCUCAAGCACUCAUCAUUGCUGCCAUACUUGUUCACGAUGGUGGCACUGCCUCCAUAUGCCCUGGCACUGGCAUUUGGCUGGAAUUUCUCCAAGUUUUCGAGGGAAAGUGCUGUACCCUCAAGAAGUAUUAACUGAAUUCUUGUGCAUGUAGAAAAAAUUUCAGAUGGAACUACAGCUCCAGUCAAGGUAAGGAUUUUCAUGUAUUGUGAUCAAAACUCUCUCUCUCUCUAAUAUAUAUGUUAUAUAUAUAUAACUAUAUAUAAAUAUAGU